AGGCAUGCCCGCCGUAGAAGACGGCAAUGACAUCAGAGACUGCAGCACGCAGCGCGGCGCCACUUCGGAGAGUCUGCGUGUGGAUGCCCCUGGCUCCUCCCACAUGUCAAGUCACAGCGGGGAGCUUCGCAUCCUGAGUGUUUACGGACAAGGGGAGGGUCCACUGGCGGUGGACGGCCAUAACGCCCUCUUUGCCGCGUCAGAACUUGAGGACUUGAGCUCGCUGUCCAAAGACCACAGCGUGGCCAAGAGCCUGAACUGCAGCGUGCAGCUCGUCCGCCUUGAGGAGCUGACUGGGCAUCAGGGCGGCCGCAAGGGCCGGCCCGGUGUCUUGUGUGGAAAGGUUAUUCCCAACAAUGCCAAUAUGAUUGUCCACAUGAGAACUCACUCCGGUGAGAAGCAAUACAAGUGUGACCAAUGCACGAAGAGCUACCGAAGGACAAGCCACCUGAAGCGCCACAUAAUGACUCACUAUGGGGAGAAGCCCUACAGGUGUGACCAAUGCACGAAGCGCUUCCAGCGGAAAUGCAACCUGAAGAUCCACCUGAGGACUCACUCCGGGGAGAAGCCAUACAAGUGUGACCAAUGCAUGAAGUGCUACCGAAGCACAAGCCACCUGAAGAUCCACCUGAGGACUCACUCUGGGGAGAAGCCCUACAGGUGUGACCAAUGCACGAAGGGCUUCAGUCUGAAAUGCGACCUGAAUAUCCACAUGAGGACUCACUCCGGGGUGAAGCCCUACAAGUGUGACCAAUGCACGAAGAGCUUCAGUCAGACAAGCCACCUGAAGAUCCACAUGAGGACUCACUCUGGGGAGAAGCCCUACAAGUGUGACCAAUGCACGAAGCGGUUCAGUCUGACAAGCUACCUGAAGAUCCACAUGAGAACUCACGAUAAGCCCUACAGGUGUGACCAAUGCCCGAAGUGCUUCAGUGAAGGCCGCACCUUGAAGAUCCACAUGAGGACUCACUCCGGGGCGAAGCCCUACAGGUGUGACCAAUGCACGAUGCGCUUCAGUCGGACAAGCUCCCUGAAGAUCCACAUGAGGACUCACUCCGGUGAGAAGCCCUACAAGUGUGACCAAUGCACAAAGUCUUUCAGUCAGAAAGUCUACCUGAAGAUCCACCUGAGGACCCACUCCGGUGAGAAGCCCUACAAGUGUGACCAAUGCAUGAAGUGCUUCAGUCAGAAAGGCCAGCUGAAUAACCACUUGAGGACUCACUCCGGCGAGAAGCCCUACAGGUGUGACCAAUGCACGAUGAGCUUCAGUCAGAUAGGCGGCCUGAAGAUCCACCUGAGGACCCACUCCGGUGAGAAGCCCUACAACUGUGACCAAUGCAUGAAGUGCUUCAGUCAGAAAGGCCAGCUGAAUAACCACUUGAGGACUCACUCCGGCGAGAAGCCCUACAGGUGUGACCAAUGCACGAUGAGCUUCAGUCAGAUAGGCGGCCUGAAGAUCCACCUGAGGACUCACUCCGGUUAGAAGCCCUGCCUGUUAGUGCAUUGCAACGCCAGCUACAGCGACCCAAGCAAUUUGAGUGUGCACAUGCUCAAGCACACGGGCAAUGGGGUGCUUUCACACAGGGUAACGGGGCGCUUUGGCAAUGACAUCAGAGACUGCAGCACGCAGCGCGGCGCCACCUCGGAGAGUCUGCGUGUGGACACCCCUGGCUCCUCCCACAUGUCAAGUCACAGCGGGGAGCUGCGCAUCCUGAGCGUUUACGGACAAGGGGAGGGUCCACUGGCGGUGGACGGCCAUAACGCCCUCUUUGCCGCGUCAGAACUUGAGGCCUUGAGCUCGCUGUCCAAAGACCACAGCGUGGCCACGAGCCUGAACUGCAGCGUGCGGCUGGUCCGCCUUGAGGAGCUGACUGGGCAUCAGGGCGGCCGCAAGGGCCGGCCCGGUGUCUUGUGUGGAAAGGUUAUUCCCAACAAUGCCAAUAUGAUUGUCCACGUGAGAACUCACUCCGGGGAAAAUCCCUACAAGUGUGACCAAUGCACGAAGGGCUUCAGUCUGAAAAGACACUUGAAGAUCCACCUGAGGACCCACUCCGGUGAGAAGCCCUACAAGUGUGACCAAUGCAUGAAGUGCUUCAGUCAGAAAGGCACCCUGAAGCACCACAUGAUGACUCACUCUGGGGAGAAGCCCUACAGAUGUGACCAAUGCACGAAGCACUUCAGUAAGACAAGCAACCUGAAGGUCCACAUGAGGACUCACUCCGGGGUGAAGCCCUACAAGUGUGACCAAUGCACGAAGGGCUUCAGUCUGAAAAGCCACUUGAGGGGCCACUUGAGGACUCACUCCGGUGAGAAGCCAUACAGGUGUGACCAAUGCACGAAGUGCUUCAGUCUGAAAGACAUCCUGAAGCGCCACAUGAUGACUCACUCUGGGGAGAAGCCCUACAAGUGUGACCAAUGCAAGAAGUGCUUCAGUCUGAAAGGCCCCCUGAAGCACCACAUGAGGACUCACUCUGGGGAGAAGCCCUACAAGUGUGACCAAUGCACGAAGGGCUUCAUUCUGAAAGGCCCCCUGAAGGUCCACAUGAGGACUCACUCCGGCGAGAAGCCCUACAAGUGUGACCAAUGCAAGAUGCGCUUCAGUCAGAAAGGCACCCUGAAGAUCCACAUGAGGACUCACUCUGGGGAGAAGCCCUACAAGUGUGACCAAUGCACGAUGCGCUUCAGUCAGAUAGGCGGCCUGAAGAUCCACCUGAGGACUCACUCCGGUUAGAAGCCCUGCCUGUUAGUGCAUUGCAACGCCAGCUACAGCGACCGAAGCUAUUUGAGUGUGCACAUGCUCAAGCACACGGGCAAUGGGGUGCUUUCACACAGGACCAUUUCAAUCAAGGUUGAAGAGGAUAUUGGUGGAGGCUUGCCCGCCGUAGAAGACGGCAUUAACAUUAGAGACUGCAGCACGCAGCGCGGCGCCACCUCGGAGAGUCUGCGUGUGGACGCCCCUGGCUCCUCCCAAAUGUCCAGUCACAUCGGGGCGCUGAAGAUCCUGAGCGUCUACGGUAAAGGGGAGGGCCCACUGGCGGUGGACGGCCAUGACACCCUCUUCACCGCGUCAGAAGUGGAGUCCCUGAACUCGCUGUCUGCGGACCACAGCGAGGCCAAGAGCCUGGAGCGCGGCGAGCGGCUGGUCUGCCGCGAGGAGCUGAGUGUGCAGCAGACCCCAGACACCAUUUCAAUCAAGGUUGAAGAGGAUACUGGUGGAGGCUUGCCCGCCGCAGAAGACUGGGAUGCCUUUGGAGACCGUAGCAAUCGGCGCAACGCCACCUCAAAGAUUCUGGGUGUGGACGCCCCUGGCUCCUCCCACAUGUCCAGUCGUAGCGAGGAACUGGUGCAGCAGACCCCGGACACCAUUUCAAUCAAGGUUGAAGAGGAUAUUGGUGGAGGCAUGCCCGCCGUAGAAGACGGCAAUGACAUUAGAGACUGCAGCACGCAGCGCGGCGCCACCUCAGAGAGUCUGCGUGUGGACGCCCCUGGCUCCUCCCACAUGUCAAGUCACAGCGGGGAGCUGCGCAUCCUGAGCGUUUACGGACAAGGGGAGGGCCCACUGGCGGUGGACGUCCAUAACACCCUCUUUGCCGCGUCAGAACUGGAGGCCUUGAGCUCGCUGUCCAAAGACCACAGCGUGGCCAAGAGCCUGAACUGCAGCGUGCGGCUCGUCCGCCUUGAGGAGCUGACUGGGCAUCAGGGCGGCCGCAAGGGCCGGCCCGGUGUCUUGUGUGGAAAGGUUGUUCCCAACGAUGCCAAUAUGAUCGUCGACAUGAGGACCCGACCAGACGAGAAGCGGUACGGGUGUGACCAAUGCACAAAGAGCUUCACUUACCUAUUCAAACUGAAGAACCACAUGAGGACUCACACCGGCGAGAAGCCCUACAGCUGUGACCAAUGCACGAAGAGCUUCUGUCAGCAUUACGAACUGAAGAACCACAUGAGGACUCACACCCGCGAGAAGCCCUACAGCUGUGUCCAAUGCACGAAGAGCUUCAGUCAGCAAUACGAUCUGAAGAACCACAUGAGGACUCACACCGGCGAGAGGCCCUACGGGUGCGACUUAUGCAUCAAGCGCUACAGUCAGAAAGGCAAGCUGAGCAUCCACAUGAGGACUCACUCCGGGGAGAAGCCCUACAGGUGUGACCAAUGCGCAAAGUGCUACAGUCACAGCUCCACCCUCAAGAUCCACAUGAGGACUCACACCGGUGAGAAACCCCACAGGUGUGACCAAUGCACGAAGUGCUUCAGUCAAAGUGAACACCUGAAGAGCCACAUGAAGACUCACACCGGGGAGAAACCUUACAGCUGUGACCAUUGCACAAAGCGCUUUGCUCGGCCUUGCAACCUAAAUGUGCACAUGAAGACUCACACCGGCGAGAAGUUUAAUUUCUAACGCAAGGUUAGUUUUAUUUCCACCAUUAUGAGAAUCAGGCCCUUUGUCCAAAAUUCCGAACUACCCCUUUAAAGGGAUUCUUUGACACCUGUAUCUACGUUCUGCUUUUUUUUCAUCGUGAUUAAACGCUUUCCAACUUUUGAUUCGCCAUGUUUUUAUUUUUGAGAAAUGAUGUCUGUGAGAUGAAGAAUAACUUAGUUAUAGGACCCUUCUGACUGCAAAACAUUUGAUUUAUCUUUAGAGCUUAAUCAUGGGAAGAAACAGGCAGCAAAGUUACCAAGCAUUUGUUCAAUUGAAAAUGCAAACUAUCUUAAAACCUUUCAAUUAUAGGGGACGGGAGGUAUCUCUAGGGCCAAGGAGAAAUUACUUUAAAUUGACUAAUUAUAUAAACGGGGUUCAUAUCAUUUGUAUACAAUUGUAUAUUGAAGCUACGCUUGAUAUUUCCACAACUAUGUCAUUACCUUUACCUUUUGUUAUUAGAAAAAGCCUGCAAAGUUCACUUUAAUCGUUAGACUGCAAUUAAACCCCACAUUAUACAUGAUUGUUUGUUUCACUUACCUUUUGGCAUGUCCUUAAUGCCAUCUACCUCUUGUUUUGACUUUCUAAUUGCUGUAUUUCUACUGCCAUUAUUUUCUAGUUCAUAUCUUGGAUACUAUCACAAUCUGCAAUCGUGGUUGAAGAUCGUCCACUUAAAAAGGUCACUGGUUAAAUGUCUAGAUCUCAGUGAUGCUUGAGUCAGUUCAUUCCGGUCCUCUCUAGAAUGCAGCAUUAUUCUAAUGGGACAGUCAGAAGAUUCCUAGCAUUGGUCACCCUUCACUCCUUGUUUGUCUAACGAAAGUUAAACGAAAACCUAAUAAAUGUAUCAUUUAAACUUCAAGUCUACAUGAUUCCAAUGAA